rnacentral:rRNA from 1 species
CCUACGGGCGGCUGCAGUGAGGAAUAUUGGUCAAUGGGCGAGAUCCUGAACCAGCCAAGUCGCGUGAGGGAGUACUGCCCUAUGGGUUGUAAACCUCUUUUGUCGGGGAGCAAAAGCCGGACGUGUCCGGCUGUGAGAGUACCCGAAGAAAAAGCAUCGGCUAACUCCGUGCCAGCAGCCGCGGUAAUACGGAGGAUGCGAGCGUUAUCCGGAUUUAUUGGGGUUAAAGGGUGCGCAGGCGGAUUUUUAAGUCAGCGGUCAAAUCGUGGGGCUCAACCCCAUCCAGCCGUUGAAACUGGGGAUCUAGAGUGUGCGAGAGGUAUGCGGAAUGCGUGGUGUAGCGGUGAAAUGCAUAGAUAUCACGCAGAACCCCGAUUGCGAAGGCAGCAUACCGGUGCACAACUGACGCUCAGGCACGAAAGCGUGGGUAUCGAACAGGAUUAGAUACCCGGGUAGUC